GACGAACGCUGGCGGCGUGCUUAACACAUGCAAGUCGAACGGGCCCGCUCUCUUUUUUGGGGGUGGGUUGAGUGGCGAACGGGUGAGUAUCACGUGAGUAACCUGCCCCCUGCUCCUGGAUAACUGCUUGAAGGGCGGCUAAUACGGGGUGUGCCGGCUGGUCCGCAUGGGCCUGGUCGGGAUAGUUUCAUCUUCGGGUGUUUCGGUGGGGGAUGGGCUCGCGGCCUAUCAGCUUGUUGGUGGGGUGAUGGCCCACCAGGGCGGUGACGGGUAGCCGGCCUGGGAGGGUGGGCGGCCACACUGGGACUGAGACACGGCCCAGACUCCUGCGGGAGGCAGCAGUGGGGGGUAUUGCACAAUGGGCGGAAGCCUGAUGCAGCGACGUCGCGUGAGGGAUGGAGGCCUUCGGGUUGUGAACCUCUUUCUCCGGUGGUGAAGGCCCUGUCCGUUGCGGCGGGGUUGACGGUAGCCGGGUAUGAAGCGCCGGCUAACUACGUG
rnacentral:rRNA from 1 species